rnacentral:rRNA from 1 species
GGGUUGUGAGGUUAAGCGAACAAGCGUACACGGUGGAUGCCCUGGCAGUCAGAGGCGAUGAAGGACGUGCUAAUCUGCGAAAAGCGCCGGUAAGGUGAUAUGAACCGUUAUAGCCGGCGAUGUCCGAAUGGGGAAACCCAGUGUGAUUCGUCACACUAUCUCAGCAUGAAUACAUAGUGCUGUGAGGCGAACCGGGGGAACUGAAACAUCUAAGUACCCCGAGGAAAAGAAAUCAACCGAGAUUCCCCCAGUAGCGGCGAGCGAACGGGGAACAGCCCAGAGCCUGAAUCAGCUUGUGUGUCAGUGGAACGGUCUGGAAAGGCCGGCGAUACAGGGUGACAGCCCCGUACACGAAGGCACACAGGCUGUGAGCUCGAUGAGUAGGGCGGGACACGUGAUAUCCUGUCUGAAGAUGGGGGGACCAUCCUCCAAGGCUAAAUACUCCUGACUGACCGAUAGUGAACCAGUACCGUGAGGGAAAGGCGAAAAGAACCCCGGCGAGGGGAGUGAAACAGAACCUGAAACCGUGUACGUACAAGCAGUGGGAGCCUUCGUAAGAGGGUGACUGCGUACCUUUUGUAUAAUGGGUCAGCGACUUAUAUUCUGUAGCAAGGUUAACCGCAUAGGGGAGCCGAAGGGAAACCGAGUCUUAAUUGGGCGUUAAGUUGCAGGGUAUAGACCCGAAACCCGGUGAUCUAGCCAUGGGCAGGUUGAAGGUUGGGUAACACUAACUGGAGGACCGAACCGACUAAUGUUGAAAAAUUAGCGGAUGACCUGUGGCUGGGGGUGAAAGGCCAAUCAAACCGGGAGAUAGCUGGUUCUCCCCGAAAGCUAUUUAGGUAGCGCCUCGUGAACUCAUCUUCGGGGGUAGAGCACUGUUUCGGCUAGGGGGCCAUCCCGGCUUACCAACCCGAUGCAAACUACGAAUACCGAAGAAUGUUAUCACGGGAGACACACGGCGGGUGCUAACGUCCGUCGUGAAGAGGGAAACAACCCAGACCGCCAGCUAAGGUCCCAAAGUCAUGGUUAAGUGGGAAACGAUGUGGGAAGGCACAGACAGCCAGGAUGUUGGCUUAGAAGCAGCCAUCAUUUAAAGAAAGCGUAAUAGCUCACUGGUCGAGUCGGCCUGCGCGGAAGAUGUAACGGGGCUAAACCAUGCACCGAAGCUGCGGCAGCGACACUAUGUGUUGUUGGGUAGGGGAGCGUUCUGUAAGCCUGCGAAGGUGUGCUGUGAGGCAUGCUGGAGGUAUCAGAAGUGCGAAUGCUGACAUAAGUAACGAUAAAGCGGGUGAAAAGCCCGCUCGCCGGAAGACCAAGGGUUCCUGUCCAACGUUAAUCGGGGCAGGGUGAGUCGACCCCUAAGGCGAGGCCGAAAGGCGUAGUCGAUGGGAAACAGGUUAAUAUUCCUGUACUUGGUGUUACUGCGAAGGGGGGACGGAGAAGGCUAUGUUGGCCGGGCGACGGUUGUCCCGGUUUAAGCGUGUAGGUGUGUGUUCCAGGUAAAUCCGGUUCACUUUAACACUGAGGCGUGAUGACGAGGCACUACGGUGCUGAAGUAACAAAUGCCCUGCUUCCAGGAAAAGCCUCUAAGCAUCAGGUAACAUCAAAUCGUACCCCAAACCGACACAGGUGGUCAGGUAGAGAAUACCAAGGCGCUUGAGAGAACUCGGGUGAAGGAACUAGGCAAAAUGGUGCCGUAACUUCGGGAGAAGGCACGCUGACAUGUAGGUGAAGCCCCUGCGGGUGGAGCUGAAGUCAGUCGAAGAUACCAGCUGGCUGCAACUGUUUAUUAAAAACACAGCACUGUGCAAACACGAAAGUGGACGUAUACGGUGUGACGCCUGCCCGGUGCCGGAAGGUUAAUUGAUGGGGUUAUCGCAAGAGAAGCUCCUGAUCGAAGCCCCGGUAAACGGCGGCCGUAACUAUAACGGUCCUAAGGUAGCGAAAUUCCUUGUCGGGUAAGUUCCGACCUGCACGAAUGGCGUAAUGAUGGCCAGGCUGUCUCCACCCGAGACUCAGUGAAAUUGAACUCGCUGUGAAGAUGCAGUGUACCCGCGGCAAGACGGAAAGACCCCGUGAACCUUUACUACAGCUUGACACUGAACAUUGAGCCUUGAUGUGUAGGAUAGGUGGGAGGCUUUGAAGCGUGGACGCCAGUCUGCGUGGAGCCAACCUUGAAAUACCACCCUUUAAUGUUUGAUGUUCUAACCUGGCGCCAUAAUCUGGCGUGGGGACAGUGUCUGGUGGGUAGUUUGACUGGGGCGGUCUCCUCCCAAAGUGUAACGGAGGAGCACGAAGGUCAGCUAAUCCUGGUCGGACAUCAGGAGGUUAGUGCAAUGGCAUAAGCUGGCUUGACUGCGAGAGUGACGGCUCGAGCAGGUGCGAAAGCAGGUCAUAGUGAUCCGGUGGUUCUGUAUGGAAGGGCCAUCGCUCAACGGAUAAAAGGUACUCCGGGGAUAACAGGCUGAUACCGCCCAAGAGUUCAUAUCGACGGCGGUGUUUGGCACCUCGAUGUCGGCUCAUCACAUCCUGGGGCUGAAGUAGGUCCCAAGGGUAUGGCUGUUCGCCAUUUAAAGUGGUACGCGAGCUGGGUUUAGAACGUCGUGAGACAGUUCGGUCCCUAUCUGCCGUGGGCGCUGGAGAAUUGAGGGGGGCUGCUCCCAGUACGAGAGGACCGGAGUGGACGCAUCACUGGUGUUCGGGUUGUCAUGCCAAUGGCACUGCCCGGUAGCUAAAUGCGGAAGAGAUAAGUGCUGAAAGCAUCUAAGCACGAAACUUGCCCCGAGAUGAGUUCUCCCUGAGACUAUAAGUCUCCUGAAGGAACGUUGAAGACGACGACGUUGAUAGGCCGGGUGUGUAAGCGCAGCGAUGCGUUGAGCUAACCGGUACUAAUGAACCGUGAGGCUUAACCUUACAACGCCAAAGAAGU